rnacentral:rRNA from 1 species
AUUGAACGCUGGCGGCAGGCCUAACACAUGCAAGUCGAACGGUAACAGGAAGAAGCUUGCUUCUUUGCUGACGAGUGGCGGACGGGUGAGUAAUGUCUGGGAAACUGCCUGAUGGAGGGGGAUAACUACUGGAAACGGUAGCUAAUACCGCAUAACGUCGCAAGACCAAAGAGGGGGACCUUCGGGCCUCUUGCCCUCGGAUGUGCCCAGAUGGGAUUAGCUAGUAGGUGGGGUAACGGCUCACCUAGGCGACGAUCCCUAGCUGGCCUGAGAGGAUGACCAGCCACACUGGAACUGAGACACGGUCCAGACUCCUACGGGAGGCAGCAGUGGGGAAUAUUGCACAAUGGGCGCAAGCCUGAUGCAGCCAUGCCGCGUGUAUGAAGAAGGCCUUCGGGUUGUAAAGUACUUUCAGCGGGGAGGAAGGGAGUAAAGUUAAUACCUUUGCUCAUUGACGUUACCCGCAGAAGAAGCACCGGCUAACUCCGUG